rnacentral:rRNA from 1 species
UACGUAGGGGGCUAGCGUUGUCCGGAAUCAUUGGGCGUAAAGCGCGUGUAGGCGGCCCGGUAAGUCCGCUGUGAAAGUCGGGGGCUCAACCCUCGAAAGCCGGUGGAUACUGUCGGGCUCGAGUACGGAAGAGGCGAGUGGAAUUCCUGGUGUAGCGGUGAAAUGCGCAGAUAUCAGGAGGAACACCAAUUGCGAAGGCAGCUCGCUGGGACGUUACUGACGUUGAGACGCGAAAGCGUGGGGAGCAAACAGG